rnacentral:rRNA from 1 species
AUUGAACGCUGGCGGCAGGCCUAACACAUGCAAGUCGAGCGGAUGAAGGGAGCUUGCUCCUGGAUUCAGCGGCGGACGGGUGAGUAAUGCCUAGGAAUCUGCCUGGUAGUGGGGGAUAACGUCCGGAAACGGGCGCUAAUACCGCAUACGUCCUGAGGGAGAAAGUGGGGGAUCUUCGGACCUCACGCUAUCAGAUGAGCCUAGGUCGGAUUAGCUAGUUGGUGGGGUAAAGGCCUACCAAGGCGACGAUCCGUAACUGGUCUGAGAGGAUGAUCAGUCACACUGGAACUGAGACACGGUCCAGGCGCCUACGGGAGGCAGCAGUGGGGAAUAUUGGACAAUGGGCGAGAGCCUGAUCCAGCCAUGCCGCGUGUGUGAAGAAGGUCUUCGGAUUGUAAAGCACUUUAAGUUGGGAGGAAGGGCAGUAAGUUAAUACCUUGCUGUUUUGACGUUACCAACAGAAUAAGCACCGGCUAACUUCGUG